UAUAAUAGCCAUGUCUGAUCUCGGACGCUAAGCAGGGUCGGGCCUGGUUAGUACUUGGAUGGGAGACCACCUAGGAAGACCAGGCGCUGUAGGCA
rnacentral:rRNA from 1 species